AAGGCUGUCUCUCAAACUGCCAAAACAGACUGUAGAGAAAAUUGGCAGAAGAUGCUGUGAACAAGGUCUGGAGUUUCAUUUGUAGUAUUCAUGGUGUAAUGCCUGCAGAUACUUGUCUCUAAGGACUUUUCCCCUGCAUUGAACUCAAGUGAAGGAGAAGAAUAGCAUGAAAGGAAACAAGAAAAAUUCAUUGCAACAUGAAUGUCUACAUUUCACAAAGCCAACCAUGGCACAUCAACAAAGAGACUGGAAAUUUGUAUGGUGACUGAACACGUUACAGAAUCACAGAAUGGCCCAGGUUGGAAGGGACCUUGAGGAUUAUGAAUCUCCAAUCUUCCUGCCACAGCAGAUGCAGAAGUAAAACCUUAUGUUAAUAUGCACUUACUGAACAUCUUAAUUGGAGUCUAAAACAGCUAUUUGAGAUCUGAUAUUUGACUAUUCUACCAGACUGAAGUCACCCCUCUCCUUGUCUUGUCCAACUCCACCACCUCCUGGAAAACACAUUGAGUUUGUAUGUGUCUUCUAUUCUGCUGAUACCUAGUAGAAGACAAGAAAUCACAGCUUGUCCUCACAGAGAAGCUGCUUUUUGCGAUUUUAACUCUAUCCAAACUAUGAAUGGGAUAUGGAAUGACCUGGAAGGAAGUGGUGUAACUUCCUGCUGAGACCUGAAUUGUGGAUACCGAUGGACAAUUUUGCCAGUAAGAUGUACUGAUGUGCCUGGAGCUGUAAUACCUUCUUCUUUUACCUGGGCUUGUCCUCUGACAGCUCCAUGAGUGGUGGCAUUCUCCUGAGAUUUUCUCCACCCAUCUCAAUGGUGUGGGAUGUGUUAGGAUGGAAUUCAUCUCAUAUGCAAACACUGUGACACCAUGUUCAUUGGAAUAAGAAUGUAUUUCAGUUUCGUGUUAACUGGACUUCAUAU